UNGAUUCCUCUGGUGUCUCUACACUCAGA
rnacentral:piRNA from 1 species